AUGAUUAAAAUUAAAGAUCAUGAGUGUUAUGCUUUGUGUGAUUUGGGUGCUAGUGUUUCCACGAUUCCGAAAACUUUAUGUGAUAUUCUAGGUUUCCAUGAUCUUGAUGAUUUCUCUUUAAAUUUGCACCUUGCGGAUUCCACCAUUAAAAAGCCAAUAAGAAGGAUCAAUGAUGUUCUCAUUGUUGCAAAUAGAAAUUUGGUGCCCGUAGAUUUUAUCGUUCUUGAUAUAGAUUGCAAUCUUUCUUGUCCUAUUAUUCUUGGUAGACCUUUCCUUAGAACGAUUGGCGCGAUUAUUUAUAUGAAGGAAGGGAAUAUUAGAUUCCAAUUUCCAUUAAGGAAAGGCAUGGAGCACUUUCCAAGAAAGAAAAUUAAAUUACCUUAUGAAUCUAUCACGCGAGCUACUUAUGAAUUGAGUGCCAAAGAUGGCACUACUUAG
rnacentral:rRNA from 1 species